AGAGUUUGAUCCUGGCUCAGGAUGAACGCUGGCGGCAUGCCUAAUACAUGCAAGUCGAACGGAGUACAUUUCACAGCUUGCUGAGGAAUGUACUGAGUGGCGAACGGGUGAGUAACACGUAGGGAACCUGCCCAUAUACCCGGGAUAACAAACGGAAACGYUUGCUAAAACCGGAUAGGUAAUYGGAAGGCAUCUUCCGAUUAUGAAAGCAGCGAUAGCUGUGGAUAUGGAUGGACCUGCGGCGUAUUAGCCAGUUGGCGGGGUAACGGCCCACCAAAGCGAUGAUACGUAGCCGGCCUGAGAGGGUAAACGGCCACAUUGGGACUGAGACACGGCCCAAACUCCUACGGGAGGCAGCAGUAGGGAAUUUUCGUCAAUGGGGGGAACCCUGAACGAGCAAUGCCGCGUGAGUGAAGAAGGUUUUCGGAUCGUAAAGCUCUGUUGUAAGAGAAAAAGGGUGAUAACAGGAAAUGGUUAACACUUGAUGGUAUCUUACGAGGAAGCCACGGCUAACUACGUGCCAGCAGCCGCGGUAAUACGUAGGUGGCGAGCGUUAUCCGGAAUGAUUGGGCGUAAAGGGUGCGCAGGCGGUUGUAUAAGUCUGAAGUAAAAGCCAUCGGCUCAACCGAUGUAAGCUUUGGAAACUGUGUAACUAGAGUGCAGGAGAGGGCAGUGGAAUUCCAUGUGUAGCGGUAAAAUGCGUAGAUAUAUGGAGGAACACCAGUGGCGAAGGCGGCUGCCUGGCCUGUAACUGACGCUGAGGCACGAAAGCGUGGGGAGCAAAUAGGAUUAGAUACCCUAGUAGUCCACGCUGUAAACGAUGAGAACUAAGUGUUGGAGAGAAUUCAGUGCUGCAGUUAACGCAAUAAGUUCUCCGCCUGGGGAGUAUGCACGCAAGUGUGAAACUCAAAGGAAUUGACGGGGGCCCGCACAAGCGGUGGAGUAUGUGGUUUAAUUCGAAGCAACGCGAAGAACCUUACCAGGCCUUGACAUGGCAAUAAAGGCCCUAGAGAUAGGGAGAUAGCAAUAAUGCACACAGGUGGUGCAUGGUUGUCGUCAGCUCGUGUCGUGAGAUGUUGGGUUAAGUCCCGCAACGAGCGCAACCCUYGUCGUAUGUUACCAGCAGUAAGAUGGGGACUCAUACGAGACUGCCGGUGAGAAACCGGAGGAAGGCGGGGAUGACGUCAAAUCAUCAUGCCCCUUAUGGCCUGGGCAACACACGUACUACAAUGGCGGUUACAGAGAGAAGCGAGCAAGAGAUUGUAAGCGGAACCCAAAAAGGCCGUCCCAGUUCGGAUUGAAGUCUGCAACUCGACUUCAUGAAGUCGGAAUCGCUAGUAAUCGCGGAUCAGCAUGCCGCGGUGAAUACGUUCUCGGGCCUUGUACACACCGCCCGUCAAACCAUGGGAGUCGUUAAUGCCCGAAGCCGGUGGCACAACCUACGGGAGUGAGCCGUCGAAGGCAGGAGUGAUGACUGGGGUUAAGUCGUAACAAGGUAACCAA
rnacentral:rRNA from 1 species